rnacentral:misc_RNA from 1 species
UACGGAGGGUGCAAGCGUUGUUCAGAAUUAUUGGGCGUAAAGAGCGUGUAGGCGGUUAGGAAAGUCAGAUGUGAAAGCCCUGGGCUCAACCCAGGAAGUGCAUUUGAAACUGUCUGACUUGAGUACGGGAGAGGAGAGGGGAAUUCCCGGUGUAGAGGUGAAAUUCGUAGAUAUCGGGAGGAAUACCGGUGGCGAAGGCGCCUCUCUGGACCGAUACUGACGCUGAGACGCGAAAGCGUGGGGAGCAAACAGG